UCCGCCACCAACCUUGGCGGCACCCGGUACUUGGAAAAAUUUUCUGUGCGUUGCUCUUCUUCUUAAGGUCCUCUGCAGCCUUACGGCGGCGCCCCAGGAUGAUGGCGGGGACCCUGAUGCUGGCUCUUCAAAGUCUAGGGGAGCGUCCAAAAGUUAGGAAAACACGGAGGAGACUCAGGAAACUCAAAUACCGAUUUCUCGGGCGUGAGGUUACUGUGUUGAUAACAUGCAGUUCAAGAUGGCCAGAAAAGGUCAAAAAGAGUUUUUACAGGUCACUUGCCCCUUUUGUCAGAAGAAUAAGUUCCUUUGCGGUAAUAUAAAUGUUAAUCCUGGCUAACAUGCAGAGGUAAACACAGUUUCUAGAGUGAAGUGGCCAGUGCUGUGAUAGCCCAGGACGAUGGCCUGCAGAGAUCAAGCAAAAAAUGAUUUUUCCUGUUUUCAGAA